rnacentral:rRNA from 1 species
GACGAACGCUGGCGGCGUGCCUAAUACAUGCAAGUAGAACGCUGAAGGAGGAGCUUGCUUCUCUGGAUGAGUUGCGAACGGGUGAGUAACGCGUAGGUAACCUGCCUGGUAGCGGGGGAUAACUAUUGGAAACGAUAGCUAAUACCGCAUAAGAGUAGAUGUCGCAUGACAUUUGCUUAAAAGGUGCAAUUGCAUCACUACCAGAUGGACCUGCGUUGUAUUAGCUAGUUGGUGAGGUAACGGCUCACCAAGGCAACGAUACAUAGCCGACCUGAGAGGGGGAUCGGCCACACUGGGACUGAGACACGGCCCAGACUCCUACGGGAGGAAGCAGUAGGGAAUCUUCGGCAAUGGACGGAAGUCUGACCGAGCAACGCCGCGUGAGUGAAGAAGGUUUUCGGAUCGUAAAGCUCGGUUGUAAGAGAAGAACGAGUGUGAGAGUGGAAAGUUCACACUGUGACGGUAUCUGAACAGAAAGAGACGGCUAACUACGUG